AUACUCCAUUUUAAACAUCUAACUCUUCUGAUGCUUUCUUAUGAGUUGGGACUACUCCAACGAUGAAAUGCACAAUCUGUAGUGCAUCCAGCAGCAGCGCUAAGCAGAGGACCACAUAUGGUCUGUUACAACUGAGUUCCUAUAGCAGAAAAGUAGCCGCAGACAGCAUAUACACAUAAGUGUGGCUGCACUCCAGUAAGUCUUUAUUUACAUACACUGAAAUGUGAAUUCUCUAUCAUUUUCAUGUGCUGUACUUUCUCCCCAACCACUUCAAGAAAUAGGCUUUGCUGCAUUAAAGUGAGAUUUUAGAAUUCAUAUUAGCAGUCUCAUACCACAAUCAGCCAGGGCUACAAUUUCCAGUCACAGUGACCAGUUGCCUUGGCUUUGGCCACACUGUAUUCCAAACGAUAGUAAUGGAAAAACCCGUUCUGAACUUGUGUCAACUUCAUUCAUUCGCCAUUCAAAGGCCAUUUCUGUGGCAUCUAUUCACUCGACACUCCAUCUUAUGGCCAAUACACAGCUUGUGAAAUGUCGGACUCCAACCAAAACUUGUCUGUGGACUAAUUCUUUUUUUCCUUUAUAGCUUUUUGUCUGAUUAUAUAUAAUAGCAACAAAAACCUCAUUAAUUUUUAAAAAUUAAGAAAGCGAAAAAUGGCUGGCCUGGUGGCUGUUCAGGAAGGGAGAAAUACUCAGUUCAUCUUGCCAUGUACAUGUAUGUGUUUGAAUGCACAUGCCCCUUAAGAUCAAACACAACAGACUUAUGUCUUCACAUGGAGAACCUUGUCUGACGCUUUCCCAGGGGAAACCAGAUGUCCAGAUCCACGAAGCUCAGAGAUGGUUCAAAUAGGGCAUUAUUUAACAAAUACAUACUAAAUCUUCUAUGUGCCAGGAACCAUUCUAGAGAUCUAAUCUGCUUUUUGCAUGUACUUAAAACCAACUCUAUUUUGCAUCAGAACACCUAGCCCUGUAUCGUAUUAAAGACUUAAGAAAUGCUAGAUGAAAGAAUGCUUAGUGGCAAUGAAUUAAAAAAAAAUCUUUUUUAAGAGAGUGAUAAUGAAUUUUUUUUGGUUUGUUUUUUGAGACGGAGUUUCGCUCUUGUUGCCCAGCCUGGAGUGCAAUGGUGCGAUCUUGGCUCACUGCAACUUCCACCUCCUGGGUUCAACUAAUUCUCCUGCCUCCACCUCCUGAGUAGCUGGGAUUAUAGGCAUGCGCCACCACGGCCGGCUAAUUUUGUAUUUUUAGUAGAGACGGGGUUUCUCCAUGUUGGUCAGGCCGGGAUUACAGGCGUGAGACACCACACCCAGCUUUUUUUUUUUUAAGAGACAGGGUCUUGCUUUGUCGCUCUGGCUGGAGUGCAAUGGUGCAACCAUAGGUCACUGUAGCCUCAAACUCCUAGGUUCAGUGAUCCUUUUGCCUCAGUAUCCUAAGUAGGUGGGACUAUAGGCAUGUGUCACCAUGCCCACCUCAUUUUUUUUUUUUUUUUUGAGACAGAGUCUCCUCUGUCACCAGGCUGGAGUGCAGUGGCGUGAUCUUGGCCCACUGCAACCUCCGCCUCCCGGGUUCACGCGAUUCUCCUGCCUCAGCCUCCCAAGCAGCUGGGACUACAGGUACCUGCCACCACGCCCAUUUAAUUUUUGUAUUUUUAGUAGAGAUGGGGUUUCACCAUGUUGGCCAGGAUGGUCUUGAUAUCUUGACCUCAUGAUCCACCCGCCUCGGCCUCCCAAAAUACUGGGAUUACAGAAGCAAGCUACCGUGCCUGGCUUCAUUUUUAAAAUUUUUUUGUAGAAAGAGGCUCUCAUCAUGUUGCCCAGGCUGGUCUCCAACUCCUAGCCUUAAGUGAUCCUCCUGCCUCAGCCUCCCAAAGUGCUGGGAUUACAGGCACAAGCUACUACAUCUGAUGGCAAUGUUUUUAAUGAGUCUGAAUUCGUUAAUGAAGGGGAAAAUUUAUUAUUUUUUUU
rnacentral:lncRNA from 10 species